CAGGGGAAAUUUCAAGAGCAUUACGUAGAACCAGAAUUUGGCACAAUAGGAUCAUUAUGGAUUUGGGAAUUGAAAUGCUGUGCUUUGCCAGCCACUGCAUCUCCGGCAAGCUGAAAGAGCGUCUUGUCUCAUUAGACCGGGUUCUCCUCAUCCCAUGAGCUCCCCACGAGCACUCCGUGAGACAGCUAAGGUUUCUUUGAGAGCGACCAAAUGCAGCUGUGAUGCUCAGGAGUUAUCAACACACCAUUUCCAAAUCUCACAGAGGCCUGGAAAUGCAUCCACCGAGUCUGUACAUUUAACUGAAGUCUCAAGUAUGAAGAGAAAGAUCUGGGGUGACUGGUUCCAGAUCCUCCAUUGCACUGGAUGGUGCAUAGAACCAAGAGCUCCAGAUCAUCAGCAACUGAUUCUUGAGCUCUCUGUGGCUAUUCUGGAGAGGACAAUCUUUGGUCUACGACUCUUCUAUUUCCACUGAAAAGUGACAGUGACCACAGAUAAUGUCUGGAAGACAUUUAGUGCGUAAACAAGAAGGAAUUGAUGCGACCAUCCCCACCAUCAGGCUUAAUGAGUGUCUGGCUUCGUCCUGGCUUCCACGCAGCAGCAGCUGGUGCUGUGUCCACCGACCGGUGCUUCACGAGCAGAAAUCUGCUUUCCAAGUUUCAGCACACACAUGUGUAGACACCCAGCACACGGAGCCUUGGAUCCCAGUUCCCUGACAUAGGAUAUGUCAUGAAAAAUAUUAAUCAUAAAUGUCCUGAAAAUUGGAUCUGAUCUCCCUUAAUACUCUACUCGCUGUUGCAAUGGAAAUGUUUUCUAAUAAAAAAUAUCCAAGUCUGCCAAA